rnacentral:tRNA from 1 species
GGGCCGUUAGCUCAGUUGGUAGAGCAGGUGACUCUUAAUCACAAGGUCGCAGGUUCGACUCCUGCACGGCCCA